rnacentral:tRNA from 1 species
GGUUUCAUAGCUCAGUUGGUUAGAGCGUCACACUGGUAUCGUGAGGUCACUGGUUCAAACCCUGAUGAAGUCC